rnacentral:lncRNA from 1 species
CAGAUUAGAGGGCGUGUGACAAGUGAUGAGUCAUCGGUAACCUGCACGCAGGUGUCACAACAAGGUCUGCUGUUGGAGGGAACUCAAGCUAAGUUAUGCGUGUCAUUGGCCCCAGAACGUGCUACAGCCCUAGCCACACUGCUCCCUGCUCGUCUUCCCGUCUCAACAAAUGGAACCACCGGCCACCCAGUUGCUCAAGUCACUCCCAAUCUCUCAGUUUACCUUGUUCCCCCACAUCAGUCCAUCAGCAAGAUGGAGCAGCUCUCCCUUCAAAAUAGUCCCCAAAACUGUCCACCUUUCUCCAUCUUCCACCAGUAUCACAAGCUCCUACCAUCACAGCAGCCUCCUGACCUGAUCCUCUCCUUCCAUUCUCAGCCCCCGAAAGUCCCUACUCCACCAACCAGCCAAGGCAGCCUCAGAAAGAGGUAAAGAAUGUCAUGUCUCUCCUCUGAUUAACACCCUCUUGGGGCAUCCUGCCACACCCGGAACAAGAUUCAGGAGCCAGCUCAGCUCCUAAGACCCUCGCUCUCUCUCAUCGAACUUCAGCCACCCUGGUCUUCUUCCUUUCCCCCAAACCUACAAGCUUCUUCUUACUUCAGGCAUUUGCACUUCUGUCUUCCAAAAACCGUAUUUAGGGCAGAUCUGCACCUGACUGGCGGUUGCUCAUCCACCAGGAGUCAGAGCAAAAGUGGCGUCCUCAGAGGACCACGCAGCACCCGGUGGCCCUCACUCCCUCCCUCCCCCAUCACAGCCCGGUUUCAUCUUCACUGCCGUCAUUACCAUCUGAUGUCCCUUGGUCCAUCCGAAAUGGAUCUACACUUCUAGGCCAGAGCCAAGCCAAGCCCCCUGAACACCCUAGUCCACAACCCGUCUCUCCCUGCAAAUGCCUGGAGCUCUUAUUUCCUCGUCACUCGCACAGACACACGCACUGCCGUGAACGGACGUGUCUUCUCUGUAACCGCAGAUAGACUCCGUGAAAGCAGGGAUCAGAACUCCUAUAGCAGAACCUCGGCUUUCUGGAACCUCAGAAACUGAGUCCCCCUGAAUAAGUCAUUCUCAGGCUCACUUCACAUGAUCAUUUCCAAUUUGAGAACCACCUUCGUUUCACGAGUUUGGAUGCAAAUAUUGUUCAUGCAGUUGGGCUACAGACAAGCACGGAAUGACUGCCCAUACCAGGCCCUGGGCUGAGCACAGAGGAUGGAAAUGGUAAGUGAGACCAACUCGUUCCCUUGGUGGGGACCUGGGGAGUCCACUGACCAUUAGAAUAAGGUGGAGGGAUCAUGGAGCGUGCCACUGGGAGACGACAGAGGUCACUAACUCAGACUGUGUGUGACUAUGGACUGUUAAGGAAGACUUCCUGGAAGACUUCCUGGAAGAAGUGACAUCUAAGCUGAGACUUGAAGGGUAAGUAAGGGUGAAUUGAAGAGGC